rnacentral:rRNA from 1 species
AUUGAACGCUGGCGGCAUGCCUUACACAUGCAAGUCGAACGGUAACAGGUCUUCGGAUGCUGACGAGUGGCGAACGGGUGAGUAAUAUAUCGGAACGUGCCCAGUUGUGGGAGAUAACUACUCGAAAGAGUGGCUAAUACCGCAUACGACCUGAGGGUGAAAGCGGGGGAUAGCAAGACCUCGCGCAAUUGGAGCGGCCGAAAUCAGAUUAGGUAGUUGGGGGGGUAAAGGCUCACCAAGCCAACGAUCUGUAGCUGGUCUGAGAGGGACGACCAGCCACACUGGGACUGAGACACGGCCCAGACUCCUACGGGAGGCAGCAGUGGGGAAUUUUGGACAAUGGACGCAAGUCUGAUCCAGCCAUGCCGCGUGCGGGAAGAAGGCCUUCGGGUUGUAAACCGCUUUUGUCAGGGAAGAAACGAGCGUCUCUAAUACAGAUGCUUAAUGACGGUACCUGAAGAAUAAGCACCGGCUAACUACGUGCCAGCCGCCGCCGUAAGAC